CCACGCUGCUCUUCCAUAAAGACUCCACAAACGACUGCAAAAGCCGAAGGCUGGCCACCUUCUAUGCCGAUGUUGUGACUCCAGAAUGCUUGCAAAGGGGAAUCCAGGCACAAUCUUCAGCUGUUGUGCAUCCAAAAACGAUUAUGGAAAUGAUGCUGAAAAUGCAUCUAUGAGCAUCAAUUUACUGUGUCCUGCCUGGCUUCAGGGCCUCAGAUGCAUCCUGAAGAGCAUCCAGGGAAGUCUUAGAGCCAUGGGCUUCUCUGCUAAGAACUGGUGAUGUCACGCAGGCUGGAAGCUGACAAUUUAAGUCAAUUCACUCUCCAAAAUGUUGCACCCCUGCUGCGUGUUAAGCUC
rnacentral:lncRNA from 1 species